ACUGCUAUCGGAUUGAUACUAAGCCAUGCGAGUCUUUGUAGCAAUACAAGGCAGACGGCUCAGUAACACGUAGUCAAUCUACCCUAUGGACGGGGAUAACCUCGGGAAACUGAGAAUAAUACCCGAUAGAUCAUUAUGCCUGGAAUGGUUUAUGGUCGAAAUGAUUUAUCGCCGUAGGAUGGGACUGCGGUCUAUCAGCUUGUUGGUGAGGUAAUGGCCCACCAAGGCUAUAACAGAUACGGGCUCUGAGAGGAGAAGCCCGGAGAUGGGUACUGAGACACGGACCCAGGCCCUAUGGGGCGCAGCAGGCGAGAAAACUUUGCAAUGUGCGAAAGCACGACAAGGUUAAUCCGAGUGUUUUCUGCUAAAGAAAUCUUUUGUCAGUCCUAAAAACACUGAUGAAUAAGGGGUGGGCAAGUUCUGGUGUCAGCCGCCGCGGUAAAACCAGCACCUCAAGUGGUCAGGAGGAUUAUUGGGCCUAAAGCAUCCGUAGCCGGCCAUGUAAGUUUUCGGUCAAAUCUAUACGCUCAACGUAUAGGCUGCCGGGAAUACUGCACAGCUAGGGAGUGGGAGAGGUAGACGGUACUCGGUAGGAAGGGGUAAAAUCCUUUGAUCUAUUGAUGACCACCUGUGGCGAAGGCGGUCUACUAGAACACGUCCGACGGUGAGGGAUGAAAGCUGGGGGAGCAAACCGGAUUAGAUACCCGGGUAGUCCCAGCUGUAAACAAUGCAAACUCAGUGAUGCACUGGCUUGUGGCCAGUGCAGUGCCGCAGGGAAGCCGUUAAGUUUGCCGCCUGGGAAGUACGUACGCAAGUAUGAAACUUAAAGGAAUUGGCGGGGGAGCACCACAAGGGGUGAAG
rnacentral:rRNA from 1 species